AUGUAUUGGAGGAGGCACACAGGAAGUGUGGCGAAGCCAGGUAGGAGACCUGCGCCAACUUCCUGUGCUUACCGGAGGGCGAGAGAUACCGGGCAGGCACCGUGUUAUGCUUACGAGCGCACAGUGUCCCCAGUGCGGGUGCAUAGCCCGGUGCGGUACAUACCAGCUCCUCGUAUCGGCAGGGCUAGAGUGGGCAUCGAGCCAGAUGCCAUGAAGCCGGCUCUACGCAUCUGGUCUCCAGUGCGUCUCCUUGGGCCGGCGUACAUGGCACCAGCCUUACACAUGGUGUCCCCGGUUCGCCAGCACAGCCCAGUGCGGGCUAUUCCACCUCGCCGCACUGGCAGGGCGACCGGGAGCAUUCAACCAGGUAAGGUUGGGCAGGCUCGGUGCUCAAGAGCUCCAGUGCACCUGCACAGUCCGGUCUAUCCAGUACCACCGCCACGCACCAGUCCUCCGGUGGCAGCCCCCCGCACCAGGCUGUCUCUCCGUCUCAGCCCUACAGGUGCUCCCGCCUGUCCAGCGCUGUCAGAGCCUUCAUCCUCUCCAGCGCUGCCAGAGUCUCCCGUCUGUCCAGAGCUGCUAGAGUCUCCCGUCUGUCCAGAGCCGCUAGAGUCUCCCUUCUGCCCAGAGCCGCUAGAGUCUCCCGUCUGUCCAGAGCCGCUAGAGUCUCCCGUCUGUCCAGAGCCGCUAGAGUCUCCCGUCUGUCCAGAGCCGCUAGAGUCUCCCGCCGGUCCAAAGCCGCUAGAGUCUCCCGCCGGUCCAGAGCCGCUAGAGUCUCCCGCCUCUCCAGAGCCGCUGGAGUCUCCCGCCUGUCUGCAAGGACCCGCCAGAGCCGCCAGUCUGCAAGGAGCCGCCAGAGCCACCAGUCUGCAAGAAGCCGCCAGAGCCGCCAGUCUGCCAGGAUCCGCCAGAGCCGCCAGUCAGCCAGGAUCCGCCAGAGCCGCCAGUCAGCCAGGAUCCGCCAGAGCCGCCAUUCAGCCAGGAUCCGCCAGAGCUGUCAGUCAGCCAGGAGCCGCCAGAGCCGUCAGUCAGCCAGAAGCCGCCAGAGCCGUCAACCAGCCUGAGCUACCCCUCGGUCCUGAGCUACCCCUCGGUCAUGAGCUACCCCUCGUUCAUGAGCUACCUCUCAGUCAUGAGCUGCCCCUCAGUCCGGAGCUGUCCCUCAGUCCGGGGGAGUUUCCUCAGUCAUGA
rnacentral:lncRNA from 1 species